rnacentral:lncRNA from 1 species
AAACGAAUUUCGAAUACUAAAAUUAUAAAUAAAACAUUAAUUUAAGAGUAAAAUAUAGUUGUAUCAAAUUACGCAUUAAUAAUUAUGUUUACAACAAUAUUGUUGAAGGUUUGACAAAAUAAAGAUAAACUCAUUUUGAUUUUUGAAUUAUUUAACAUACCAAAUAUUAUGGUAAAUACCAACGAAGCCAAAUCAGCGAAAUGCGUAUGAAAACAUUGUUCGUACAAAAAUCUUAUAGUUAUAGUUCAAAUCAACUUAAUUUAUGCACCUACGUAAUUUAUUAAUUGGUUUAUCGAUCUUCAAAAGGUCAGUAAAAUAAUAGCAAUAUUGCUGUACCAGUAUUAUAUUAAUAUACCUACCUAAUAUCCUUAAUUUUAAACGUACCUAAUUUAUGUUGAGAUUAUUUUGUUUUAUUAAUCAGUGGUACCUAAUAAAUGCUAUAUAUUAUUUUGUACGGUAUUGAUACGAGAAUUCAAUAAUAUGUUUUAAAUAUUAUGGUUAUUUUUUUGUUGUUGAUUAUAUAAAAUAUGAUUUGAUUAAAACUACUGCCCAACUACUUCUAUAAAAUAGUACUUACAAAAAUCAUAAAUAAGGCAGUGUUAAACGAACAAUAUUGUGUACAAUUUAUAAUUCAUUAUAAUAUUAUUAUCAUCAUUGAUUUAUAUAUUUUAUUUAUUUAUUUUUAGUUCAUAUACGAUCAAUAUAUAAUAUUUAGAGACCCAGUGGUGGUGGAGGAGCAUUCCCUCCAGAUUUUUAUAAAUCGGGCACGUGACACAUAACAAUGUUUUUUAGGCAGCAUACAUAUAUUUUAAGCUUGCGACCCUUGAAAAAUGACCGUGAGCGCCUACGGAAUAUUAUAUUAUAAUGUUUCAAAGGAAUGUCAGAGACGACAAAAAGUGUUCGGUAUAACAUAUUAAAGAUAAUUCCAAUAUAAAUAAAUAAUUAAAAAUAUAUAUAAGGGCGUACACAUAUCUAUAUAGUGUAUAUUAUUAAUAUAAAUGAACGAUAUGGCAUGUUGUUGCACACAAAAAACAAUGCAUACCGACAUCAUACACGCGGUAUAAUAUUAUAAUACGUAUAGUAUUAUUGUGCUAACCAGUUAACAAUAAGGUCGUGACCCAUCGGCACUACUACUUAGUAGUACUACUACUAUUACUACUAUACAACAAGUAACAAUAUUACUACCUACUACUACUACUACUACCACCUACUACUAUUAUAUAGUUGGCUGUUGUUGCUACUCUCUUCCUGGUUAUCAACGAAUAUUAGAUAAACGAGCAGACACGAGAACGCCGCCUAAAAUAAUAUUAUUAUAGCACUACACCACGGUGUAUUAUGGAAUGUACACAGCACUCUUUUUUUUCGUGUGUGGCGAGAGCAGCAGUCGCAUAAUAAUUGGGCGAGAAACUACACAUAUUAUUGUAAUUACGACGACCACGACAACGACUACUACGACGAUGUAUCUCCGUCAUCACCGCCGCCGUCGACGGCAUUUGUAGUGCUGCAGUCAAUUGGAUGCCUCCGCUGUUAUUCAUUCGAGACAAUUGAACGAAACGCCCGGUCUCGUAAUAAUAAUAAUAAAAAUAAUAAUAUAUAUAUAUAUAUUGAUUAUAGUCAGAAUUACUUUGUCCCAAACUAAAGAAUGUACACACACACCACACGCAUAUUAUGUCUUAAAUAUAUCGCGCAAAGCAAAAUUUGAUCGCAAUCGAGUUCAAUGUGUUAUUUUUCUCGCGCGUGGUUCUUGAUUAUAACGUAAUAAAAUGCAGUGAUUCGCUUCGAAAAGGAAACGCGUUAUGCGAUAUCUGAAUAAAUGUGUGCUAUGGUGUGCUGAUAUUAAAACAUAAUAGUAUUUGAUUUGUGUUUUUGUUUCUCGACGAGCUCGUACCCUACAUAAUAUUAUUAUAUCCGAUUUCUCUAAUAAACGUAAUUUUUCUCGCUAUAAAUCAACACGUAUAAUAUAAUAAUAUUAAUAUAUUAUAUUAUAUCGGGUAGGAGCAUUUAUUGUUGAUGUAGUUUUUUUUCUUCUUUUUUAUCGAAAUUGUGAAAUUACAAGCGCGCAACAAUAGAUUUCACCAAUGAACACGUCAGUUAUUACCUAUAUGUAUAAGUGUAUACUCACCACAUACAAUAUUAUACUCUCUCAGAUACGCGGAAGAAAGUUCUUUAGUCCUUAUAAAUAAUUAUUAUUAUAAGUCCUUUAAAAUGUAGCAUCACAACAGUGUAGAAAAUAAUGUUCAAGUAAACGAUUUCAAAAUGUGUAAUCUACGCGUUGGUGAAAAAGAAAAAAACGAUUAAUUAAAAAAUAUUAUAGGAAAAUACGUAAAUUAUCCUAACAGAUGUACCUGUGUGUAGAUACUUUGGUCUUUGGUGGGACCAGAAUCGUAAUUAUAUGUACAUAUAUAGAGGAGCUCAAUUAUAAAUUGUAAGAUCUAAAUAGUUUCUAUCCACGUCCCAUGAAAAUAACAUAGGUAUUAGGUGCAUAGGCGUAGGUUUUUUUUGUAUUGUCAUAUUGAACGCUCAAACAAACGCACAAUUUUAAAAUUAUUCAUGACUUGAACAGAAUACAUUUUGUUUCAUAAAUCGCUACAAUGUCACUAUGUACAGUAAUUACAGACAAAUUAUAAUAGGUAAACGGUUAACACGGAAAAUCCUUUACGGGCAAUUUAAAAUAAUUCCUUACAUUUAUACAUAAUAUACCUAACCUAUGCAUAUACAUAUGUUGUUCGUAUUCCGUUUAUGGAUUUACAUCUCACCAAUUAUUAUUAUAACCAGCUGAAUAAAAAUGUAUUAUGUACGACUUGUG